UCGGGAAUUUUGGGCAAUGGGGGAAACCCUGACCCAGCAACGCCGCGUGAAGGAUGAAGUAUUUCGGUAUGUAAACUUCGAAAGAAUAGGAAGAAUAAAUGACGGUACUAUUUAUAAGGUCCGGCUAACUACGUGCCAGCAGCCGCGGUAAUACGUAGGGACCAAGCGUUGUUCGGAUUUACUGGGCGUAAAGGGCGCGUAGGCGGCAUGACAAGUCACUUGUGAAAUCUCUGGGCUUAACCCAGAACGGCCAAGUGAUACUGUCGCGCUAGAGUGCAGAAGGGGCAAUCGGAAUUCUUGGUGUAGCGGUGAAAUGCGUAGAUAUCAAGAGGAACACCUGAGGUGAAGACGGGUUGCUGGGCUGACACUGACGCUGAGGCGCGAAAGCGUGGGGAGCAAACAGGAUUAGAUACCCCUGUAGUCCCUGAGCGGGCUGGCAAGGCGCAU
rnacentral:rRNA from 1 species